UCGUCGCGGCGCGCUACAGGUACAUGUGGCGCUCAGAGUACACUCAACUCAUAAAGUAAUUUUUUAGAGUAUUCCAAACUCCUAAAAGAGGUUCUCAAAAUAAUCCAAACUCCUACAAAACAAUACAUAAAUCAUUUGCUUCAGCAUAUUAUGUGUUCAGUUUGAGAAGAAUUCAAAAUUGUCAUACAAAGUCUUGCAAUUCUUCGUACUCUACUGAGCACAUAAAAUCAGUGAUAUUGUUAGAAGUAUUUUAUUCUCUUUCCUUAGCUAGAAAUUCCAAUCAAAAUCAUCAAAUUCCACUAUGAAUAAAUAUGUUGUGUUGUUUCCUUAAAGCAAAACAGAAUGAUUUAAAUAACAUUCUAUUGGGUGAAAUUCUAGUUCUUGCCUUGCUAUUAUUUGACUUACACUUGUGAACCAAGCAAGGAAGGAAGCUAGCUCAUAGUGUUGGUCUCUUGCAACCAAGGCUAGUGUGCUUGACGAAGGCUCACCAUGU
rnacentral:lncRNA from 1 species